rnacentral:lncRNA from 1 species
GAUUUGUCACCUUUUUUAGUCUUUAGGUUCUCCAGAUAGAGUGGAUGAUUCCUCGUCCAAUGGCCGUCAUCAUCAUAGUGGAAAUACUUUUUCUUAUUAACAGCCUUCUUGAGAAUGUCCUUCUUUAGCUUGCUCUCCUUCUUCUGUUUCUUUACGGAUUUACUCUUUUUCUUCGAACCAGACUUUCUCUUGGAUGAAGAAGUUCGCUCUAUAGUGAGAAUAGUACCCCUUGGACUCUUCAAGAUUCCCUUAGCAAUGACCAACUUGUUAACC